rnacentral:rRNA from 1 species
UUAGGAUAAUGAUCUAAGGUUAGACCUGCCCAAUGUAUACUUUUUAAAAGGUAUGAAUGGCCGCGGUACUUUGACCGUGCUAAGGUAGCGUAAUCAAUUGGCUUUUAAAUGGAGUCAGGUAUGAAUGGAUUUACGGAAUUUGACUGUCUCUUGACCUAAUUUUUAGAAGUUACUGUGAAGGUGAAAAAGCCUUUAUAAAGAAAAGGGACGAGAAGACCCUAAGAGUUUUAUUUAAUGUAGGUAGUACCUAUAAUGUUUUUGUUGGGGCAACAUAAGAACAAGAUUAGAUCUAAUUUCUUGUAGACCUAUGAAUCGAUUUUUAUAAAAAUAAUUAAACUACCUUAGGGAUAACAGCAUAAUUUAAUAAUUAAGUUUGUGACCUCGAUGUUGGACUAGGGAACUAAUGGGCUAGCCGCUCUUUAGAAAGUUCUGUUCGAACUAAAAU